rnacentral:lncRNA from 1 species
UGUAGUUUCUAUGCACAGGUAUUCUUUAGUGUUAAUUACAUUGUAGUAUGUCUUUGAAGAAAAAAAAGGCACACUUUGCAAAAUGCUAAAUGACUUCUGGUGACCUUUGGACUCUUUUCAUUUUUCUUUUUUUAAAGAUUUUAUUUUUUUUCCUUUUUCUCCCCAAAGCCCCCAGGUACAUAGUUGUAUAGUCUUCGUUGUGGGUCGUUCUAGUUGUGGCAUGUGGGACGCUUCCUCAGCGUGGUUUGAUGAGCAGUGCCAUGUCCGCACCCAGGAUUCGAACCAACGAAACAGCUGCCUGCAGUGGAGCACGUGAACUUAACCACUCGGCCAUGGGGCCAGCCCCUGGACUCUUUUCUUAAAUGUUCAUUAAUUACUCCAGACUCUGGAUUUAGGUUCAAGAACUGGCAUAGGUGCCAGAGGAAGACAAGAAAUAACCAGAGAAACCGACAUAUCCAUCAGUAGAUGUUCUAGGCAACGAAAGCACCUCUUUUUCAUUAUCAAAUUUAUAAGCACGGAUUUUCAUAGACUGAUUUUGUAUAUGCUAAGGAGAAACUAAUGUGAAAGCACCUGCAAAUUCUGGCUGAUAGUUCAGCUAAAAGUUCACUUCCUCCAACCACUUCAAAUCCAUUAAACCAUGGAUCCCUCCUUUCAGCAAUGGAAAACUCAGAUAACUUGGAAAACUGGCAUCUGUGUGCUCCAGCAUGAUUGAUAUACUUGAGCGCCAAGAGAAGUGUAUUAGGCUUUAUAAUUUGCCUUAUUAUUCAAUCAUCCACCACUUGGCAAAGGGAUCCAGCGUUAGCACAGGGUCACUGGGGCUCUGUCCGGCUCUAGACAGAUGUUGCCAAAGUCAGGGUUUAUGAUGACGGAAUGAGAUUUCCAGAAUGCACUGCAGUAAAUUAGCACAGAUGCCUGUAACA